AACGCACAUUGCGCCCCUUGGUAUUCCGGGGGGCAUGCCUGUUCGAGCGUCAUUUCAACCCUCAAGCACAGCUUGGUCUUGGGCCCUGCCGGCAACGGCUGGCCUUAAAAACAGUGGCGGCGCCAUCGAGCUCUACGCGUAGUAAUUAUACCCUCGCGUGUGAGUCCCGGUGGAUGCUGGCCAGCAACCCCCAAUUUUCUAUGGUUGACCUCGAAUCAGGUAGGGAUACCCGCUGAACUUAA
rnacentral:misc_RNA from 2 species